rnacentral:rRNA from 1 species
GAUGAACGCUGGCGGCGUGCCUAAUACAUGCAAGUCGAGCGAACGGACGAGAAGCUUGCUUUUCUGAUGUUAGCGGCGGACGGGUGAGUAACACGUGGAUAACCUACCUAUAAGACUGGGAUAACUUCGGGAAACCGGAGCUAAUACCGGAUAAUAUUUUGAACCGCAUGGUUCAAAAGUGAAAGACGGUCUUGCUGUCACUUAUAGAUGGAUCCGCGCUGCAUUAGCUAGUUGGUAAGGUAACGGCUUACCAAGGCAACGAUGCAUAGCCGACCUGAGAGGGUGAUCGGCCACACUGUAACUGAGACCCUGUCCAGACCCCUACGGGAGGCAGCAGUAUGGAGUCUUCCGCAAUGGGCGAAAGCCUGACGGAGCAACGCCACGUGAGUGAUGACGGUCUUCCGAUCGUAAAACUCUGCUAUUAGGGAAGAACAUAUGUGUAAGUAACUGUGCACAUCUUGACGGUACCUAUUCAGAAAGCCACGGCUAACUACGUG